CCCAGCAGUAGUCAGCUGUCCAGUUGUUAUAUAACUGUGACUGUGUUACACUGCUGGGAGAUGAAGGCACUGCCACCCCAUGCUGCAAGCUGUGCCCACCGUUUUGGUGAUACAUGGCCCUAGCAUAAGGCAGUGCUGUGCUUCCUUGAGAGUGCACCUGUCACUUGUCUGAUAGGAGCUAGUCUGGAAGCAUACAAA